AGAAGAUAAUGACUUUUAAAAUGAUAGAUAUGGGUUUUGAUAAUUACCAAUACUUUUCAUCAUUAUUUCAGGUAAUCAGGAGGUGGUGGUGAGGGGUGGGAAUCACUUUAUUGUCUCUCAGUCUAAACUCAAAUUGAAAUGGGGUAAUUCCCUUGAUCCCUUCACAGGACUUGUGAAGGGGUAGCUUGCUUACUCAGCCCACAGAUCUUAACCCCUGGAGGGAGGGGGAGCAUGCAGGUAAUCAGGUGCAGAGGCUGGGACAAGCACUUCUGGGCAGCUGGCAGGAGCAGAACUCUGUGCAGAACCGCUGUAGUAUCUAGGGGUUGCCUGUGGCCCCUGGAGCCCCAGAAGGUAUGUGUUACAGUGUGCUCUUUUAGCUUUGCUGUCUAUGGACAGCUUAAGUGUUAACUCAGUGGAGGGUCAGUCUGACAGCCUCUUGCACCCGCACCCAGGUCCUUGUCCAGCAUCCAGGAGGAAUGAGGUAACACAAACAAACUGGAGUGUGGUGAAUGUGGAGGCUUUCAUUGCCAAUGAAAGUGGCUCCCAGCAGGAAGCGGGGGCUGGAAAGGGGAUGGAGGACGAGGGUGGUCUUCCCCUGGAGUGUGGGUGCCAAACUCCUUUCUAACCAUCCCCAGCCCACAUCCUCUCUGACUGUAGUCUCCGAUGUCCAGCUGGUUCUUCACCUCUCAAUAUUCAGACACCUCUUCUCUCCUCUGCCAUGCCUCUCUGCUCUGCCAGUGUGGUCUGGGGUUUUUACGGGUACAGGAUGCGGGGGCAGGGUGGGCCAGGGUGGUUCUGGAAAAGGCAACAUUUGGGUGGGAAAACAGGAAGACAUGUUCUCACUUUGGGCCAUGGGUCCAGGCUUGAGGGUGUGGCCCUGACCAGGGACUGCCCUUCUACCCAGUAUUUCCCUGCCUCCUGUCCAUAUCAGAAUAUCCACUUCAGCAGAGCCACCACAUGGGGUGGCAGCACAAAUUAUGCAAUGUAAUCCUGCCAUUUGAGAGGUUUUCCUGACCACUCCUUGUCGAGUUUCCUUCCAGUUCCCAUCGAUCAUAAAACCAGCUGUAUUUUCACCGUAACUUGUUUGCUUUAUACAUUUGUGAUUAUUAAUUUUAUAUGUUAAUUUGACUGGGCCAAGGAGUGCAAAGCUUAAACAUUAUUUCUGGAUGUGUUGUAAGGGUGUUUCCAGCUGAGAUCAGCAUUGCAAUCAGUGGACUCAGCAAGGUACACUGCCCCCGAACUAUGCGGUUGGCAUCAUUCAAUCCACUGAAGGCCUGAGCAGAACAAAAGAAAGAGGAAGAGGAAUUCAUUCCUUUUGCUUCCUGCCUGCCUACUGAGCUCAGAUAUUGCUCUUCUCCUGCCCAUGGCCUGGAAUUUACACUAUCAGCACCCCUGGUUCUCAAGCAUUCAGACUUGGACUGGAAUUAUACCACCAGCUUUCCUAGGUUUCUACCUUGCAGGCAGAAGGUCAUGGGACUUCACGCUCCAUAAUCAUGACUUAACAAUCACACGAAUCACCACCACCACUUAUUGUGUGGCUUCUAGAUACUUCAAAAAUACAUGCUCCUGUUUAUUGCCCAUGUGACGUCACAAGGGAACCAAAGAGGAGGAAGACACAGAACCUUCCCUCAAGUUUACAGUUUACCAAUUCUACCAAGA